rnacentral:rRNA from 1 species
AACGAACGCUGGCGGCAGGCCUAACACAUGCAAGUCGAGCGAACCCUUCGGGGUUAGCGGCGGACGGGUUAGUAACGCGUGGGAAUAUACCCUUUGGUACGGAAUAGCCUCGGGAAACUGAGAGUAAUACCGUAUGUGCCCUUCGGGGGAAAGAUUUAUCGCCAAAGGAUUAGCCCGCGUUGGAUUAGAUAGUUGGUGGGGUAAUGGCCUACCAAGUCUACGAUCCAUAGCUGGUUUGAGAGGAUGAUCAGCAACACUGGGACUGAGACACGGCCCAGACUCCUACGGGAGGCAGCAGUGGGGAAUCUUAGACAAUGGGCGCAAGCCUGAUCUAGCCAUGCCGCGUGGACGAUGAAGGCCUUAGGGUUGUAAAGUCCUUUCAGAUGGGAAGAUAAUGACGGUACCAUCAGAAGAAGCCCCGGCUAACUCCGUCG